rnacentral:lncRNA from 1 species
AUGGCGCGGGCGCGGGCGGCGGGCGCGCGGGGCCGGCCCGGGCGCUGCGGGCUGGGCGGGCGCUGCGGGCGCCGCGCGCUGCUGGCCUGCGCCGCGUGGACCGCGGGCUGGGUGCUGGCGGCCGCGCUGCUGCUCCGCGCGCACCCGGGCGUCCCCUCCGAGCGCUGCACCGACGAGAAGAGCCGGCGCAUCCUGGCCGCGCUGUGCCAGGACUACCGGGGCGGCGCGCUGGGCGGAGACCUGUGCGAGGACCUGUGCGAGGCGGGGCAGCUGCGGUACCGGCGCUGCCUGUACUACGAGCGCGGCAAGAAGGUGCUGCAAGCCGACUGGCGCGGCCGGCCCGUGGUCCUCAAGUCCAAGGAGGAGGCCUUCUCCAGCUUCCCGCCGCUCGGCCUCCUGGACGGGCAGCCCGAGGCCGGCGGCCAGGACUUGCCGGAGGCUGAGCUGCUGGCGCUGGCGGCCGGGGAGGCCCGGAGCGCGCUGGGCCUGGAGCCGGCCGAGGGCGGCCUGGGCCGGCUGGGGCUGGCGCGGCGGGGCCCCCGGCGGCGGGGCCAGCUGGCCAGCCUGUGGGCGCUGCUGCGGCAGGAGGAGUUCGUGCUGCUCAGCCUGCUCCGCGGCCGCAGCCCGCACGCCCCGCCCGUGCUGGGCUCCUGCGGCCCCUUCUACGCCGUGGAGCACCUGGCGGCGGGCAGCCCCGGCCACCGCGCCCUCUUCCCGCUCGGCCCGGACGGCGGGCGCCGCGGCCAGGCGCGCGCGGUCAGCGGCGUGGCGCUCAGCUUCCUGGACAUGGUCCGCCACUUCGACCACGACUUCGCCCACCGCCUGCACCUCUGCGACGUCAAGCCCGAGAACUUCGCCAUCCGGAGCGACUUCACGGUGGUGGCUAUCGAUGUGGACAUGGCUUUUUUCGAACCUAAGAUGAGGGAAAUUCUCGAGCAGAACUGCACGAGGGAUGAAGACUGCAAUUUCUUUGAUUGUUUUUCAAAGUGUGAUCUGCGAGUGCACAGGUGUGGGGCCCAGAGAGCCAACAGCAACCUGCAGGUGAGCAGGCCGUCCUCUCCGGGGGGGGGGGAGGCCCUGUCCUCUGGUGGGGGGGCGUCCUCUAGGGGGGGCCUUGUCCUCUCUGAGGUGGCCCAUCCUCUCUGGGGGGACCCUGUCCUGUCAGAGGGCCAUCCUCUCUGGGGGGCCAUCCUCUCGGGAGGGCCCAUCCUCUCAGGGGGCCCUGUGCUCUCUGGGGGCACCUUGUCUUCAGGGGGCCAUCCUCUCUGGGGGGCCCUGUCCUCUCUGGGGGGCCAUCCACUUGGGAGGGCCCAUCCUCUCAGGGGGCCCUGUCCUCUCUGGGGGGACCUUGUCCUCUGGGGGACCCUGUCAUCUGGGGGGACCCUAUCCUCUCUGAGGGAUACUGUCCUCUCUCGGGGAGGGGACCGUGUUCUCUCUGAUGGCGCCUGUCCCUCUUGGGGGGGCCCUGUCCUCUCUGCAGCGAGGGCCCCUGUCUCCUCGGGUCCUCUUCCCCCCACUCCGUGGCUCCUGCCGAUGUACCUGGAGGUCGUCGCCCUCUCCCCACCAGCUGGGCUCAGUGCGUCCAGUGAGGGCAGGGAUGGGGGAGAUGGGGAUCGUUUGUUCUUUGUCAUCUACCUGGGGGAGGGGCUGUGGGCCAAGUGA